rnacentral:rRNA from 1 species
CCAAUAGCGUAUAUUAAAGUUGUUGCAGUUAAGAAGCUCGUAGUUGAAUUUCGGGGUUAGUAGGUUGGUCAUGCCUCUGGUAUGUACUGGUCUCACUGAUUCCUCCUUCCUGAUGAACCUUAAUGCCAUUUAUUUGGUGUUUUGGGGAAUUUGGACUGUUACUUUGAAAAAAUUAGAGUGUUUAAAGCAAGCUAACGCUUGAAUACAUUAGCAUGGAAUAAUGAAAUAGGACGUUCGAUCCUAUUUUGUUGGUUUCUAGGAUUGACGUAAUGAUUAAUAGGGAUAGUUGGGGGCAUUAGUAUUCAAUUGUCAGAGGUGAAAUUCUUGGAUUUAUUGAAGACUAACUACUGCGAAAGCAUUUGCCAAGGAUGUUUUCAUUAAUCAAGAACGAAAGUUAGGGGAUCGAAGACGAUCGGAUACCGUCGUAGUCUUAACCAUAAACUAUGCCGACUAGGGAUCGGAUGAUGUUAAUUUUUUAAUGACUCAUUCGGCGCCUUACG